UACGAAGGGGGCUAGCGUUGCUCGGAAUUACUGGGCGUAAAGCGCACGUAGGCGGCUUUGUAAGUUAGAGGUGAAAGCCCGGGGCUCAACUCCGGAACUGCCUUUAAGACUGCAUCGCUUGAAUCCAGGAGAGGUGAGUGGAAUUCCGGAGUGUAGAGGUGAAAUUCGUAGAUAUUCGGAAAGAACACCAGUGGCGAAGGCGGCUCACUGGACUGGUAUUGACGCUGAACGGCGAAAGCUAGGGGAGCAA
rnacentral:rRNA from 1 species